rnacentral:rRNA from 1 species
AUAAAGGGUCUUCUAAAGAAGUGGGGGGUCUGAACACGCUGGAUCUCGGAAGCUAAGCAGGGUUGGGCCUGGUUAGUACUUGGAUGGGAGACCACCUAGGAAGACCAGGUGCUGUAGGUG